UAAAUCACAAUGAAAAGGAAAGUACGUUUUACAAACACUUAUAGAGAGCCCUGAAAGAUUGCUGAAAAAGGGUAGUGGGAAGAAAGCUGAAAAUGGCCUUGGAGUGAAGCAGUUGAAUUGUAGAACUUCUACUUUAGAUUGCUACGGGAGCACCCGCUAUCGUGCCACAGUAUGCAAAAUAAAAUUAUUUUAAGUACUGGUUAAGGUAAAACGAGCAAUCGUUUUAUAAAAAAAGGUGGUAACACGAAUACAUAAUUGUACUCGUCCUUUAA
rfam:Carnobacterium divergens DSM 20623 NODE_8, whole genome shotgun sequence.